rnacentral:rRNA from 1 species
AUUGAACGCUGGCGGCAUGCCUUACACAUGCAAGUCGAACGGUAACAGGUCUUUCGGGAUGCUGACGAGUGGCGAACGGGUGAGUAAUACAUCGGAACGUGCCUAGUAGUGGGGGAUAACUACUCGAAAGAGUGGCUAAUACCGCAUGAGAUCUAUGGAUGAAAGCAGGGGACCUUCGGGCCUCGUGCUACUAGAGCGGCCGAUGGCCGAUUAGGUAGUUGGUGGGAUAAAAGCUUACCAAGCCUGCGAUCUGUAGCUGGUCUGAGAGGACGAUCAGCCACACUGGGACUGAGACACGGCCCAGACUCCUACGGGAGGCAGCAGUGGGGAAUUUUGGACAAUGGGGGAAACCCUGAUCCAGCAAUGCCGCGUGCAGGAUGAAGGCCUUCGGGUUGUAAACUGCUUUUGUACGGAACGAAAAGUCUUGGGUUAAUACCCUGGGAUCAUGACGGUACCGUAAGAAUAAGCACCGGCUAACUACGUGACAGCAGCCGCCGUAACAC